GCCUGUGGCCACACUUCCCUGAAUGUGCCCAGUCUCCUCUGAUCUUAAAAGAUAAGCAGGGCUGACCUCAUUAAUGUUUGGAUGGGGAGAAGGGAGCUACAAGUC
rnacentral:rRNA from 1 species